rnacentral:rRNA from 1 species
UUAGAGUUUGAUCCUGGCUCAGGACGAACGCUGGCGGCGUGCUUAACACAUGCAAGUCGAGCGGAAAGGCCCUUCGGGGUACUCGAGCGGCGAACGGGUGAGUAACACGUGGGCAACCUGCCCCUAGCUCUGGGAUAACUCCGGGAAACCGGUGCUAAUACCGGAUACGACCUCAAUUGGCAUCUUCUGAGGUGGAAAGAUUUAUUGGCUAGGGAUGGGCCCGCGGCCUAUCAGCUUGUUGGUGGGGUAACGGCCUACCAAGGCGACGACGGGUAGCCGGCCUGAGAGGGCGACCGGCCACACUGGGACUGAGACACGGCCCAGACUCCUACGGGAGGCAGCAGUGGGGAAUAUUGCGCAAUGGGCGAAAGCCUGACGCAGCGACGCCGCGUGAGGGAUGACGGCCUUCGGGUUGUAAACCUCUUUCAGCAGGGACGAAGCGCAAGUGACGGUACCUGCAGAAGAAGCGCCGGCCAACUACGUGCCAGCAGCCGCGGUACGCCC